UACAGGUUUGGUCCCAGCCUUACUAUUAGUUGUCAGUAAGAUUAUACAUGCAAGUAACCGCGCACCGGUGAGAAUGCCCUCUAAAUUGCAUAAUCAAAAGGAGCAGGCAUCAAGCACGCCAAGCGGCAGCUCUUCACGCCUUGCUAAACCACACCCCCACGGGAUACAGCAGUGACAAAAUUUAAGCAAUAAACGAAAGUUUGACUAAGCUAUACUGAAAUAAGGGUUGGUAAAUUUUCGUGCCAGCCACCGCGGUCAUACGAUUAACCCAAACUAAUAAAGACGGCGUAAAGUGUGUUUUAGAAUACCAAAAAUAAAGUUAAAUUUUAUCUAAGCCGUAAAAUGCCCCAGCUAAAACAAAAUAACCCACGAAAGUGACUUUAACACUCUGAAAACACGAAAGCCAAGACUCAAACUGGGAUUAGAUACCCCACUAUGCUUGGCCAUAAACUUAAGUGACUAAUAAACAAAAUCACUCGCCAGAAUACUACAAGCAAUAGCUUAAAACUUAAAGGACUUGACGGUGCUUUAAUUCCCUCUAGAGGAGCCUGUUCUAUAAUCGAUAAACCCCGAUAAACCUCACCACCCCUUGCUAAUCCAACCUAUAUACCGCCAUCCCCAGCAAACCCUAUCAAGGCUACAAAGUAAGCACAAACAUUCAACAUAAAAACGUUAGGUCAAGGUGUAGUCCAUGGAGUGGAAAGAAAUGGGCUACAUUUUCUACUUACAGAACAUCAUCCCACCAAAACCCUAUGAAACUAGGAACUAAAGGAGGAUUUAGUAGUAAAUCAAGAAUAGAGAGCUUGAUUGAACAAGGCCAUGAAGCACGUACACACCGCCCGUCACCCUCCUCAACCCUUACAUAACUAGUUCCCUAAACACAAGAAACAUAAUACAAGAGGAGAUAAGUCGUAACAAGGUAAGCAUACUGGAAAGUGUGCUUGGAAAAAAU
rnacentral:ncRNA from 1 species